GUGUGUGUAUAGAUGUAGGUAUUAGGCAGUGUGUGUUUAUAGAUGUAGGUAUUAAGCAGUAUGUGUGUAUGGAUGUAGGUAUUAGGCAGUAUGUGUGUAUGGAUGUAGGUAUUAAGCAGUAUGUGUGUAUGGAUGUAGGUAUUAAGCAGUAUGUGUGUAUGUAUGUAGGUAUUAGGCAGUGUGUGUAUGGAUGUAGGUAUUAAGCAGUGUGUGUGUAUGGAUGUAGGUAUUAAGCAGUGUGUGUGUAUAGAUGUAGGUAUUAAGCAGUAUGUGUGUAUGUAUGUAGGUAUUAGGCAGUAUGUCUGUUAGUAUGUAGGUAUUAAGCAGUGUGUGUGUAUGGAUGUAGGUAUUAAGCAGUAUGUGUGUAUGGAUGUAGGUAUUAAGCAGUGUGUGUGUGUAUA